GGGGGGGGUUCUCGGGGAUUACUGGGCGUAAGCGCACGCAGGCGGUCAGUCAAGUUCAGGGUGACAGUCACCAGCUUAACUGGUGAAGUACUUUGAAAACUGGUUGACUUGAGAGCGAGAGAGGAACCUGGAACUCCGGGUGGAGCAGUGAAAUGCGUAGAGAUCCGGAAGAACACCCAAGGCGAAGGCAGGGUUCUAGCUCGUUUCUGACGCUAAGGUGCGAAAGCCAGGGGAGCGAACGGGAUUAGGUACCCCGGUAGUCCUGGCCGUAAACGAUGACCACUAGACAUGGGAGGUUCGACCCUUUCCGUGCCGAAGCUAACGCGAUAAGUGGUCCGCCUGGGGAGUACGGUCGCAAGACUAAAACUCAAAGGAAUUGACGGGGACCCGCACAAGCAGCGGAGCGUGUGGUUUAAUUCGAUGCGACACGCAGAACCUUACCAGGGUUUGACAUGCCGGCUGAGCCACCAGCGAUGGUGGGGCCCGCAAGGGAGGCCGGCACAGGUGCUGCAUGGCUGUCGUCAGCUCGUGCCGUGAGGUGUUGGGUUAAGUCCCGCAACGAGCGCAACCCCUACCGUUAGUCUGAAGCUUUCUAACGGGACUGCCACGAGCAACGUGGAGGAAGGCGGGGAUGACGUCAAGUCAGCACGGCCCUUACAUCCUGGGCGACACACACGCUACAAUGGCCGAGACAACGGGUUGCCAACCCGCGAGGGGGAGCCAAUCCCAGCAAACUCGGUCGUAGUUCGGAUGGCAGGCUGCAACCCGCCUGCCUGAAGCCGGAGUUGCUAGUAACCGUGGGUCAGCACACCACGGUGAAUACGUUCCCGGGUCUUGUACACACCGCCCGUCACACCACGAAAGUCGGCAACACCUGAAGCCGCUGGGCUAACCCUUGUUCUUCGGAGGAAGAGAGGCAGGCGUCGAGGGUGGGGUCGGUGAUUGGGGUGAAGUCGUAACAAGGUAACC
rnacentral:rRNA from 1 species